AAAAAAAAUUUUUUUCAUCAAACCCAUACGUGUGGGGUAUCUAGGGAUAGGUCUUUAAAAAUGAUAUUGAGGUUUCUAAUAUAAUUUUUUUCUAAACUGAAUAGUUUGCGCGUGAGACACUUCCAAAGUGGAAAAAUGUGUGCCCCCCCCCCCCGUAACUUCAAAAAUAACAGAAUGAGAAAUCUAAAAAAAAAUAUAUGAUAUACAUUGCCAUGCAAACUUCCACCGAAAAUUGGUUUGAACGGGAUCUAGUCUAGUGAGUAGUUUUUUUUUAAUACGUCAUAAAAUUAAAAAAAAAAAUUUUUUUUCAUCAGUCCCAUACGUGUGGGGUAUCUAGGGUUAGGUCUUCAAAAAUGAUAUUUAGGUUUCUAAAAUCAUUUUUUUCUAAACUGAAUAGUUUGCGCGAGAGACACUUCCAAAGUGGAAAAAUGUGUGUGCCCCCCCCCCCCGUAACUUCUAAAAUAACAGAAUGAAAAAUCUAAACAAAAUAUAUGAUAUACAUUACCAUGCAAACUUCCACCGAAAAUUGGUUUGAACCAGAUGUAGUAAGUACUUUUUUUAAUACGUCAUAAAUGGUACGGAACCCUUCAUGGGCGAGUCCGACUCGCACUUGGCCGCUUUUUUAUAAGAAUUUCAGCAAGUUAGUAAAAGUCGGUUUUCACGAUUUUUUUGUUAACUUCCAAUAUUAUUUAAGUAAAAGUUACAGUUAAAUUUGAAACAAUGUCAAGUAAUGCAGAAUAAUUAUAAAAAAAAACCGGCCAAGAGCAUGUCGGGCCACGCUCAGUGUAGGGUUCCGUAGUUACUCUUCCGUCACAAUAAGCUAAACUGGAGCUUUAAGUAUAGUAAAUUGUUAACCAAGGGAUGAAACGCUACCUUUCACCUGAGUUAAACAAAUAGGCAAAUUUGCAUAAUCAGUACCUAAUUAAAAUAAGGCUUUUUACUAUGAAGGGAAAACUUUUUGCGAUAACUCAAAAACAGCUAAACUGAUCAUGUCCGCUAUAGUUUUCAUUUAAUGUCUUUCUUAAGUUCUACUUCCACGAUUUUUUUCAUAUUUUUUGGACCUAUGGUUCAAAAGUUAGAGGGGAGGGGACACAUUUUUUUUUUCUUUCGGAGCGAUUAUCUCCGAAUAUAUUCACUUUAUCAAAAAAUGUUUCUUAAAAACCCUAUUAGUUUUGAAAGACCUUUCCAACGAAAUCCAACACUCUAGGGUUGAAGCGAAAAAAAAAUUUCUCCCCCACUUUACGUGUAGGGGAGGUACCCUAAAAAAAAUUAAAUUUUUAGUUUUAAUUGUACGACUUUGUCGGCUUUAUUGAUUUAUAUAUCCAUGCCAAAUUUCAGCAUUCUAGCACUAACGACCACGGAGCAAAGCCUCGGACAGACAGACAGACAGACAGACAGACAGACAGACAGACAGACGGACAUGGCGAAACUAUGCGGGUUCCGUUUUAUGCCAUUUGGCUACGGAACCCUAAAAAGAUCCAAUAUAAUUGAUCCAAAGUUAUACCCAACUAGCACAACUAGUUGCUUAAGGGUUUUGGAGCUAAUCCGAUUAUUCCGAAAGGUGCCAAGCUCAAGCGCCAGAGCGUGCACUGUAGACCUUAUGCAGGCGCUUUACAGCCAAAGGGGCACAAGUUUUUGCAACCUACCGUUCAAUUAGAACUUCAUACUAGUGGCAUAACAGCGCUACAGGAGCUACAACUAAUAAUUAACACCACACUAAAUCUCUUGUGGCGCUUAUUGAAUGAAUGACAGUUUAACUGAACGAAUUAUAAAAGGAUCGACGAUCAACUGAUCAUUCAAUUCACCUUGUCUCUCAUUUAUUAAAUACAUCUGAGUUGUUCCUGUGACAGUGAAUAACAAAUAGUGAAGUGAAGUGAAGAAUGCCUUUCAAAAUAAUUCGAACUUAUAAGGAACAACAAGAUAAACAAGAACUGUGCAUCUGUCCAUCUAAGUGGGAAAAACAUGGAGUGUUACACUGGCCGAAAAAAAAAGUAAAAAAUUAUGUAAAAUAGAAGAUUCAACUCCACAGCCAAAUUGGAAAGUAAUUGGGAAAACAAAAUUUACGGGACCCUCGCUUGUGUUUGUAGAACUCGAACUAGGCGCAUUAUUUUUUUUGUUUCCAAUGAAUCCCUUAAAGAAUAAAUUAAAUUAAUAGAGUAUUAUAAAUGAAAGCUAAAUCACUCUCACGUAAUGAGUUUUUAACUUAUGUGUUAUUAAUUAUUUCAAUUACAGAAUUCUCACACACA